UACGUAGGGACCAAGCGUUAUCCGGAAUGAUUGGGCGUAAAGCGUCCGCAGGUGGCAGUUCAAGUCUGCUGUCAAAGACCGGGGCUUAACUUCGGAAAGGCAGUGGAAACUGAACAGCUAGAGUAUGGUAGGGGCAGAGGGAAUUCCUGGUGUAGCGGUGAAAUGCGCAGAUAUCAGGAAGAACACCCGUGGCGAAGGCGGUUCUCUGGAACGCAACUGACGCUGAGACGCGAAAGCGUGGGGAGCAAACAGG
rnacentral:rRNA from 1 species